GCUUGUCUCAAAGAUUAAGCCAUGCACGUCUAAGUAUAAGCAUUAUACAGCGAAACAGCGAAUGGCUCAUUACAUUAGUUUUAACAUACACGAUGAUCGAUUCUACUUGGAUAACCGUAGUAAUUCUAGAGCUAAUACAUGCGUAAAGCGCUUCGUAAGAAGUGUGUGUUUAUUAGAUACAACCGCCCUCGCAAGAGGUUUAGGUGAGUCACAAUAACCGAACGAACCGCUAUAUGCGGUGGUUCAUUCUGGAUUCUGCCCUAUCAGCUUUCGAUGGUAGGGUAUUGGCCUACCAUGGCGUUCACGGGUAACGGAGAAUUAGGGU
rnacentral:rRNA from 1 species